UCGACAUUUUCACAGAGCAGGAGAGGGUUUCUCCUUUCAAACCCUAAACUCAUCAAAAUUGCUCAAAAUCAAAAGGGAAAUCAAGCUAAGAAUUGGGGAUUUAACUAAAUUCGUGAUCACCUAAGCUAGGAGAUCACAAGUUUGACGCUUAAUGAGCUAGGUGGGAGCUCGGGAAGGAAGCGGAUCAAACAAGUUAAACAUGAAGAAAAGCAUAACCAGAUGCAAGGUGAUCACCAAGAGUGCCCGGAUGAAGAUCAAGCUCGAUGAAGAACCGAACACGAUAAAUUACAAGCUUCCGCGCGGCGUUUCGUCGUAUCUUUUAAACGACGAAUUCAAUUACAUUAAGUUGUAUAUUCUUUUAAAUUGUAAAAGUUUUAUCUAACCUUAUUUAUCAAAAUUACAUGUUUGUUUUCGUAAACUAUACGAAAACCGUAAAAUAAUAACAAAGG